UACGGAAGGCAGCAGUGGGGAAUAUUGCACAAUGGGCGAAAGCCUGAUGCAGCUAUGCCGCGUGUAUGAAGAAGGCCUUAGGGUUGUAAAGUACUUUCAUCGGGGAGGAAAAAACAAAACUAAUAAUUUUAUUUCUUGACGUUACCCGAAAAAGAAGCACCGGCUAACUCCGUGCCAGCAGCCGCGGUAAUACGGAGGGUGCUAGCGUUAAUCAGAAUUACUGGGCGUAAAGAGCACGUAGGUGGUUUUUUAAGUCAGAUGUGAAAUCCCUGGGCUUAACCUAGGAACUGCAUUUUGAAACUGAAAUACUAGAGUAUCGUAGAGGGAGGUAGAAUUCUAGGUGUAGCGGUGAAAUGCGUAGAUAUCUGGAGGAAUACCUGUGGCGAAAGCGGCCUCCUAAACGAAUACUGACACUGAGGGUGCGAAAGCGUGGGGAGCAAACAGGGAUUAGAUACC
rnacentral:rRNA from 1 species